AUCGAACGCUGGCGGCGUGUUUAAUACAUGCAAGUCGAACGGGGCUUGCGGGGGCUUGCUCCCGCAAGUUUAGUGGCGGACGGGUGAGUAACACGUGAGCAACCUGCCCUUCGGAGGGGGACAACAGUGGGAAACUACUGCUAAUACCGCAUAAAGUGCGACGGCGGCAUCGCCGAUGCACCAAAGAUUUAUCGCCGAAGGAUGGGCUCGCGUCUGAUUAGCUAGUUGGUGGUGUAAUGGACCACCAAGGCGACGAUCAGUAGCCGGACUGAGAGGUUGGCCGGCCACAUUGGGACUGAGAUACGGCCCAGACUCCUACGGGAGGCAGCAGUAGAGAAUAUUGGGCAAUGGGGGCAACCCUGACCCAGCAACGCCGCGUGAAGGAAGAAGGCUUUCGAGUUGUAAACUUCUUUGACGAGGGACGAAACAAAUGACGGUACCUCGAAAACAAGCCACGGCUAACUACGUGCCAGCAGCCGCGGUAAUACGUAGGUGGCAAGCGUUGAUCGGAUUUACUGGGUGUAAAGGGCGCGUAGGCGGGUAUGCAAGUCAGAUGUGCAAUCUAUGGGCUUAACCCAUAAACUGCAUUUGAAACUGUUUACCUUGAGUGAUGGAGGAACACCAGUGGCGAAGGCGGCCUGCUGGACAUUAACUGACGCUGAGGCGCGAAAGCGUGGGGAGCAAACAGGAUUAGAUACCCUGGUAGUCCACGCUGUAAACGAUGAAUACUAGGUGUGGGGGGACUGACCCCCUCCGUGCCGGAGUUAACACAAUAAGUAUUCCACCUGGGGAGUACGGCCGCAAGGCUGAAACUCAAAGGAAUUGACGGGGCCCCGCACAAGCAGUGGAUUAUGUGGUUUAAUUCGAUGCUACACGAAGAACCUUACCAGGGCUUGACAUGGAGAUGACCGCCGUAGAGAUACGGUUUCCCCUUCGGGGGCAUCUCACACAGGUGGUGCAUGGUUGUCGUCAGCUCGUGUCGUGAGAUGUUGGGUUAAGUCCCGCAACGAGCGCAACCCCUGUUGCUAGUUGCUACGAGAGAGCACUCUAGCGAGACUGCCGUUGACAAAACGGAGGAAGGAGGGGACGAUGUCAAAUCAUCAUGCCCUUUAUGUCCUGGGCUACACACGUAAUACAAUGGCGUUUAACAAUGGGAAGCGAAGCCGCGAGGCGGAGCAAAUCCCCAAAAGGCGCCUCAGUUCGGAUCGCAGGCUGCAACCCGCCUGCGUGAAGUCGGAAUUGCUAGUAAUCGCGGAUCAGCUAGCCGCGGUGAAUACGUUCCCGGGGUUUGUACACACCGCCCGUCACACCAUGAGAGCCGGGGACACCCGAAGCCCGUAGCCUAACCUUUUUAUAUUGGAGGGCGCGGUCGAAGGUGGAUUUGGUAAUUGGGGUG
rnacentral:rRNA from 1 species